GCUCGCGGCCGGCCAGGUUUUGCGGCCUCACCUUUCUGAGCCUCAGUUUCUUCCUCUCGGUGUGAGUACCCUCCAAAAGAAAGGCUGCAGGAGCGAGAGAGAGGCCCUUCAGUUUUUCUUGGAAGAGCCCAGCCGCCUUAUUUCCGAAGUGGGCGCCCUCCUGAACGUAAGGCUUUCCUCCCCCCACUGCCCCGACGAUUCAGAACUGGUAAUGUCUGCAUCAUAAAGUGACGGCUGGGAGGACAAUGGAAUUCGUGGAAACCACCCCUUCUGUAGGAUUCCGCCGGCCUGGGUCGUGUGCCUUAGUUCUAAAACCAAAGGGGAUACCUUUUUCUGGCGCCUUGGAGUCAUGAAAACAGCUACAACAAUCACUUGCUUUCACUGAAAAGAUACUUUGUGUGAAACGUUCAUGCAUCUGCCCUCCUACUUUAUCCUCCUGAAGUUGUUCAUGGGAGAUGCCCCCUGAACAGACUGUGAAACUGAAUCUCCCCAAAAUUAAGUAGCGUGCAGAAGGCCGAGAGCGCAUAGCACACGGCAAGGACCUGGGUACUGUGCAUUGUCCCCAGGCUCUUAAAGCACCUUUUAUAGCUGCUGUUUCUAGCGGUGGUUUUUUCUGACCUUACAAUGAUGUAAUCGGCGAAAAAGGUCUUCCUUUCCUACAUUUGAACCAGCUCUUGGUCCAAGCUCAGAAACACGGAAGACGAAAAUCCGAAGAAUGAUGUGAAAGAUCUGAGGUUCUUAGGGAAAAGAAAAGCAAAAAAUAAAAUAAAAAAUAAAAAACCCAGCCUGGGAGCUCUUACUGUAGACAAACAAGAGUCAAAAGAAAAGUGAAGAGAAAGGAAAACUAUGUGGACCAACUUCUCACAAGUUUGUGAGCUGGCUGCAGGCUCUUGUCAGAGGUCCACAGCUGUACAGCCACAAAGCCUGCAGAGCACAAGAUUUUAUACGUGCUUAAAAGUUCCUACAUAUUCACACAUACUGGUUUGUUUUCCUGAAUCAUUUAUUGGCUCAUGUCCCUCAUAGGCUCCUGUGCAGAGUCCUUGGUCUUCAACGAUGGUGCUAUUUUGGGACGUUGUGGAAACUUGAGGAUGUGGAACCCAGCUGAAAAGUACAUUUUGUGACAUUUAGAAAGGGAUACAACUGUGGAAUAUGAAGAUAUAGGACAGCAUUGACACGACAAAGUUGCCUCGCCUGCCACUUGCCAUCUCCUGCUCCCUGGAACGGCAACCACAGAUCUACUUUCUAAGCUCAUAGUUUGCCACCGGAGACUGUCGUGUGGAUAGAGCACUGCACGGAGUAAUGGAGCGUGGUGUCCUCCACAGCCGUCCAUGUUGUUUCCUGAACUGAUAUCUUGUUCCUCUUUAAUGCAGACUCGGAUCCCAUUGGAUGGAUUGCGUUGGCAUGUUCACAGCAGCUGAGUGAGAGGUCGUCCAGUCUCGGACUUUAGGCAAUUAUGAGUAGAACUGCUAGAAUUAUUCAUGCAAAGCUGUUUUGUGUGUGGAAAUGUAACUUUUUAUUUCUCUUGGCUAAAUAAACAAAACUAAGGUCAGAAAUUAUCAGAAACAGCAAACUAUUUUCAAAGUGAUCACACAUUUGUAUGAGCACCAAAUGUAUGAGCGUUCCAGUUGCUUUACAUCCUGAGCGUCAGCUGCUCCUGUCAGUCUUGUUACUGUUAGCUGUCCAAAUUGCUGUGUGGUGGUAUCUCAUUCUAUUUAUUCGUUUGCUUAUUUAUAAUUUCUUUCAUGUAAGUAAUAUAUUUUGAUCAUACUCAUACCCAUUACCCUCUCUUAGUCCCUCUUGUAUUUCUUCUACACAACUAGUUCUCCUAUUUUCAUGUUUUACAGCUUUGUUUUGUCUUUUUGUGACCCACUGAAUUUCAUUAGGGCUGUUUGCAUGUCUAUGGGAUGCAGUGGCUUGAAUCAGAUGUGUCCGAUAACUCAUGAGCUCUGAAUUCUUGAUCCCCAGCCGAUGGCAUGCUGGAGAAGGCAUAUGACUGGGAGCCUAACUUGAAGCCCCCAGUUUUCCAGUUCUAGUCAGCUCAUGUUCCUGCUGCCAUUGCCCACCUGCUGUGGCAGAACUGAUGUCCAGCCCCUCCUCACGUCACGCUGUCCCCUGCCAUCGUGAAGCUUUCCCACCACACUAAACCAAAAUAAAAAUGUUCCUUCCAUCAGCUGCUUUUGAUCAGAUGCUGUGGUGAUUUCAUUCAGGUGUCCCCUAGAAACUCAUGUGUUCUGAAUGCUAGGUCCCAAGCUGGUGGCAAUUUGGGAAUUAGAACCUCCUGGAGGCGGUGUGUUGUUGAAGGUGGGCUUAUGCAUGUUUUAGCCAGCUCUCCCUUGCCAGUGUUUGAUAAACUCUCCUGUUACUGUU